rnacentral:rRNA from 1 species
CACUAUGCCUAGCCGUAAACAUUGACAGUACAUCACACCCACUGUCCGCCCGGGAAUUACGAGCACCAGCUUAAAACCCAAAGGACUUGGCGGUGCUUUAGACCCACCUAGAGGAGCCUGUCCUAGAACCGAUAAUCCCCGUUAAACCUCACCCUUCCUUGCUCUUUCCGCUUAUAUACCACCGUCGCCAGCUUACCCUUUGAGGGACUAAUAGUAAGCAAGAUCGGUACAACCCAAAACGUCAGGUCGAGGUGUAGCGUAUGGAAGGGGAAGAGAUGGGCUACAUUCACUAAUACAGUGAAUACGAAUGAUCACUCUGAAAUGAGUAUCUGAAGGAGGAUUUAGCAGUAAGCAAAAAGCAGAGUGUUUUGCUGAAGCUGGCUCUGAAGCGUGCACACACCGCCCGUCAUUCUCUCCGAACUAUUCUAAAAAAAUAACUAAUACCCUAAAACUGUAAAGGGGAGACAAGUCGUAA